CGUUGUCUUCAGGGCAGGGUGUAAUUCCCGAUCGGCGGUACAGUCCGCGAGCGCGAGAGCGCAUGAAUUGGUGCAACUCCAAUACCGACAGUUAAAGUCUGGAUGAGAGAAGAUUUCG
rnacentral:ncRNA from 2 species